UACGUAGGGAGCAAGCGUUGUCCGGAAUCAUUGGGCGUAAAGCGCGCGUAGGCGGCCCUGUAAGUCCGUUGUGAAAGUCAAAGGCUCAACCUUUGAAAGCCGGUGGAUACUGUCGGGCUAGAGUUCGGAAGAGGCAAGUGGAAUUCCUGGUGUAGCGGUGGAAUGCGCAGAUAUCAGGAGGAACACCUAUAGCGAAGGCAGCUUGCUGGGACGAUACUGACGCUAAGGCUCGAAAGCGUGGGGAGCGAACAGG
rnacentral:rRNA from 1 species